GUCGAACGCGUUGGCCCAAUUGAUUGAUGGUGCUUGCACCUGAUUGAUUUUGGUCGCCAACGAGUGGCGGACGGGUGAGUAACACGUAGGUAACCUGCCCAGAAGCGGGGGACAACAUUUGGAAACAGAUGCUAAUACCGCAUAACAGCGUUGUUCGCAUGAACAACGCUUAAAAGAUGGCUUCUCGCUAUCACUUCUGGAUGGACCUGCGGUGCAUUAGCUUGUUGGUGGGGUAACGGCCUACCAAGGCGAUGAUGCAUAGCCGAGUUGAGAGACUGAUCGGCCACAAUGGGACUGAGACACGGCCCAUACUCCUACGGGAGGCAGCAGUAGGGAAUCUUCCACAAUGGGCGCAAGCCUGAUGGAGCAACACCGCGUGAGUGAAGAAGGGUUUCGGCUCGUAAAGCUCUGUUGUUAAAGAAGAACACGUAUGAGAGUAACUGUUCAUACGUUGACGGUAUUUAACCAGAAAGUCACGGCUAACUACGUGCCAGCAGCCGCGGUAAUACGUAGGUGGCAAGCGUUAUCCGGAUUUAUUGGGCGUAAAGAGAGUGCAGGCGGUUUUCUAAGUCUGAUGUGAAAGCCUUCGGCUUAACCGGAGAAGUGCAUCGGAAACUGGAUAACUUGAGUGCAGAAGAGGGUAGUGGAACUCCAUGUGUAGCGGUGGAAUGCGUAGAUAUAUGGAAGAACACCAGUGGCGAAGGCGGCUACCUGGUCUGCAACUGACGCUGAGACUCGAAAGCAUGGGUAGCGAACAGGAUUAGAUACCCUGGUAGUCCAUGCCGUAAACGAUGAGUGCUAGGUGUUGGAGGGUUUCCGCCCUUCAGUGCCGGAGCUAACGCAUUAAGCACUCCGCCUGGGGAGUACGACCGCAAGGUUGAAACUCAAAGGAAUUGACGGGGGCCCGCACAAGCGGUGGAGCAUGUGGUUUAAUUCGAAGCUACGCGAAGAACCUUACCAGGUCUUGACAUCUUGCGCCAACCCUAGAGAUAGGGCGUUUCCUUCGGGAACGCAAUGACAGGUGGUGCAUGGUCGUCGUCAGCUCGUGUCGUGAGAUGUUGGGUUAAGUCCCGCAACGAGCGCAACCCUUGUUACUAGUUGCCAGCAUUAAGUUGGGCACUCUAGUGAGACUGCCGGUGACAAACCGGAGGAAGGUGGGGACGACGUCAGAUCAUCAUGCCCCUUAUGACCUGGGCUACACACGUGCUACAAUGGACGGUACAACGAGUCGCGAACUCGCGAGGGCAAGCAAAUCUCUUAAAACCGUUCUCAGUUCGGACUGCAGGCUGCAACUCGCCUGCACGAAGUCGGAAUCGCUAGUAAUCGCGGAUCAGCAUGCCGCGGUGAAUACGUUCCCGGGCCUUGUACACACCGCCCGUCACACCAUGAGAGUUUGUAACACCCAAAGUCGGUGGGGUAACCU
rnacentral:rRNA from 1 species